rnacentral:lncRNA from 13 species
AUGGGAAAAAGCAAUUCAAUUCUAAAUGAGCAAGCCUUCAACACAGAUGCAAGAUCAUACUUGCAGAAUUUCAGAUGGCAUGGAGGACUUGUCAACACCAAAUUUUCAUGGACUUACCCUUCCUAUGUCAAAGAGACUGGCAUGUUUCAGAUAUGCUCCCUUAGGCUGGAUCCCAGAAUGGAGAUAAUGUGGACCAGAGCCAUGGACCACCUGCACAGGACCAGUGACAUAAGCAAGAAAUAAGGCUUUGUUAUCUUAGCCGCUGAGACCCUGUGGAUGUUGGCUUCUACAAAGUAACUGAACCUAAGCUUAGAGACAUACUAUCCAAUAUGAGACAAUGUGCUGUGUGCUCCUUGUUGACAUGGGUCAACAAAUGUAGAGGCAAUUAAGUUGUAUAAACACAUCACAAUAUAAGUGACAAUACUGAAAUUCCAGAGAGAUUGUAAAACAACAUAAUUAAAGCAUAAAUUG